GGCAGUCCUGCCUAGUGGUGGGAGCGUUGGACUGGGGCUCUAGGAGACCAGGGUUCGAAUCCCUGCUCAGCCA